GAGGACAAAGGCCCUGGCAGCCUAUCAGCAGCAGGCCGUGUGUGUGACAAGGCUAGUCAGAGAGGUCAAGACCCUUAGAGAACAGCUGGAGUUACAGAGGAGAGAUGUGGACAACCUGAACAAUGAGCUGGACAAGGAGAGAGAGCGACGGCACAGAGUAGGUCCGUUUCACAUGGGUUUAUAUACCCAUAUAAUAUACUCAGACAUAGGCCCUACUCCGUUUUGAUCAGACAUAUCCACAAUGCUGUACAGAAUGUAGAUUAUAAAGCAUUGUUGUGCGUUGUUUGUGUGUACAGAGCAGCAGUUCUUGGAGUACAAACUAAGGAAGACACGACAGCUCCUAGAGAGGCAGGUGAUUUACGACUCAGAUGAUCCCAACCAGAAUGACCCGGAAUCUCCCAGUGAACCCAUCAGCUCACCUCCCAGUCCUUUGGACCUGUCGCUAGAUGCAGAGAUGUAGGAGAGAGGCUGAAAAUGAAAUCAAGCUGAAAAAGA